GAUAUCUUAUGGGACAUGUUUUUUUUUGUUGUUGCGAUGGUAAAUCCUCACUUGCUUUUCUUGACAGUUGAAAAAAAAUCGUGGUGACUAAAAGUGCGGCUUAGAUAAAUAAAAAGCACCCAUAGUGUUUCUUAACAUUCCCGAUGGUUUUGUUUAGAAACCCCAAAAGAAAUUAAAAUUAAAAUGUAGUUUUAAAAAUACAAAGUGGUAAAUUCUCGGCGGCCCCAUAAUAAAGCACUGAAGUGCUGGGCCGCCCGAUAAUUUUUUUUAUUGAUGCAGUUUUUUUGUCUGUUCUGGCCCACUGAAUCCCAACUCGUCCUCGACCAACCCAAUGACAACGGGCAGCAAAAUAGUCGGGUUUUAACGAGGACCAUCGAGAAUGGAUUUGUUUUUUUAAAUACAGGAAUAGGACCCCAUCCGCCCAAAAAUUUGGGGCUCCGCCACCUGAAAAAGAAACUAAAAAGGAAAACAAGUAUCCGUGAGUGC